GGAGGCAUAGCUCAGUUGGUUAGAGCGCACGGUUCACAUCCGUGAGGUCAAGAGUUCAAGUCUCCUUGUCUCCACCA
rnacentral:tRNA from 1 species